GCCAGGGUGGCGUAGUGGUUAGUGCAUCGGCCUGCUGAGUAGGAGACCCGGGUUCGAAUCCUGGCCUUGGUA